UACGUAGGGGGCAAGCGUUGUCCGGAUUUAUUGGGCGUAAAGAGCGUGUAGGCGGCUUGGUAGGUCCGUUGUGAAAACUCGAGGCUCAACCUCGAGACGCCGAUGGAAACCAUCAGACUAGAGUCCGGAAGAGGAGAGUGGAAUUCCUGGUGUAGCGGUGAAAUGCGCAGAUAUCAGGAAGAACACCCGUGGCUAAGGCGGCUCCCUAGUACGGUACUGACGCUGAGACGCGAAAGCGUGGGGAGCGAACAGG
rnacentral:rRNA from 1 species